GCGCAUUAAGUCCCUCAACUUCCCCUUAUGCGUCUCAGCGUACCCAUUGCUCAUUGGCAUACACAUUUUAGGCUCUCGAUUCGCUUGGGCUUUAAUUCUUAAUCAACCGAUCAUUCCGCUCGCUCUGUCUCUCUACCAUUUUCUGAUUGCUAAAGGCUCGAAUCAAUCAUCAAUACAGAGUAUCAAGGAUAAUAAUCAACGGGCACCUUCCUUCAUUUUUCUAGAAAGUGGGCUCUAUACUAAUAUUGGGCAGAUAGCCGGUUGUGAUUCUGAAGAAUCUGCUAGCAAUUGAGACUCACAGGCCUCUCUAUUCAUUAUCAGAACCAAGAACAACUCAGGCAAAAGAAGCAGUCGUUAAGAAUAAAAAAUUUACACACGAAAGAAACGAGAGAAAGCCAUGUUUGUUCCAAGCAGGUUAGCUAUGUGCUUCUUUAAAAAUAAAUUGAUUCCCAUCUUGUCUCCCUUCUCUCAUCUUCUUUCUUAGUUAGUUAGUAAUAACCAAUGACUAACCAAGUAAUCCAACCAGAAUUAUAUAUUUAAUAUAUGUAAUUGUUUAUUGUCUGA